rnacentral:rRNA from 1 species
GUCGGGGACUCUAGGGAGACUGCCGGUGUUAAACCGGAGGAAGGCGGGGAUGACGUCAAGUCCUCAUGGCCUUUAUGCCCAGGGCUGCACACGUGCUACAAUGGGGCGGACAAAGGGUCGCCAACCCGCGAGGGGGAGCUAAUCCCAAAAACCGCCUCCCAGUCCGGAUUGCAGGCUGCAACUCGUCUGCAUGAAGUUGGAAUCGCUAGUAAUCGCGGAUCAGCCACGCCGCGGUGAAUGUGUUCCUGAGUCUUGUACACACCGCCCGUCAAGCCAUGGGAGCUGGUAGUACCCGAAGUCGCUGACCCAACCCGUAAGGGAGGGAGGUGCCGACGGUAAGACCGGUGACUGGGGCUAAGUCGUAACAAGGUAGCCGUAGGGGAACCUGCGGCUGGAUCACCUCCUUUCUAGGGA